AUCAUCUGUUCUUAUCAGUUUAAUAUCUGAUACGUCCCCCAUCGGGGGACUACAUAUUAAAUGGAUUUUUCGAACAGGGAGUCGGAAAUGGGGCUUGCUCCGUCCGCUCCACGCAUCGACCCGGUAUUGCAGUACCUCCGGGAACGGUGCAACACUU
rnacentral:snRNA from 8 species